GACGAACGCUGGCGGCGUGCUUAACACAUGCAAGUCGAACGGAAAGGCCCUGCUUUUGUGGGGUGCUCGAGUGGCGAACGGGUGAGUAACACGUGAGUAACCUGCCCUUGACUUUGGGAUAACUUCAGGAAACUGGGGCUAAUACCGGAUAGGAGCUCCUGCUCCAUGGUGGGGUUUGGAAAGUUUCGGCGGUUGGGGAUGGACUCGCGGCUUAUCAGCUUGUUGGUUGGGUAGUGGCUUACCAAGGCUUUGACGGGUCGCCGGCCUGAGAGGGUGACCGGCCACAUUGGGACUGAGAUACGGCCCAGACUCCUACGGGAGGCAGCAGUGGGGAAUAUUGCACAAUGGGCGGAAGCCUGAUGAAGCAACGCCGCGUGCGGGAUGACGGCCUUCGGGUUGUAAACCGCUUUCGCCUGUGACGAAGCGUGAGUGACGGUAAUGGGUAAAGAAGCACCGGCUAACUACGUG
rnacentral:rRNA from 1 species